rnacentral:rRNA from 1 species
GACGAACGCUGGCGGCGUGCUUAACACAUGCAAGUCGAACGGUAAGGCCCUUCGGGGUACACGAGUGGCGAACGGGUGAGUAACACGCGGGUGAUCUGCCCUGCACUUCGGGAUAAGCCUGGGAAACUGGGUCUAAUACCGGAUAGGACCACUGCCUGCACGGGGGGUGGUGGAAAGCUUUUGCGGUGUGGGAUGGGGCCGCGGCCUAUCAGCUUGUUGGUGGGGUGAUGGCCUACCAAGGCGACGACGGGUAGCCGGCCUGAGAGGGUGACCGGCCACACUGGGACUGAGAUACGGCCCAGACUCCUACGGGAGGCAGCAGUGGGGAAUAUUGCACAAUGGGCGCAAGCCUGAUGCAGCGACGCCGCGUGAGGGAUGACGGCCUUCGGGUUGUAAACCUCUUUCAGCACCGACGAAGCGCAAGUGACGGUAGGUGCAGAAGAAGGACCGGCCAACUACGUGCCAGCCGCCGCGGUAA